CAGCAGCCGCGGUAAUACGUAGGGUGCAAGCGUUAAUCGGAAUUACUGGGCGUAAAGCGUGCGCAGGCGGUUAUAUAAGACAGAUGUGAAAUCCCCGGGCUCAACCUGGGAACUGCAUUUGUGACUGUAUAGCUAGAGUACGGCAGAGGGGGAUGGAAUUCCGCGUGUAGCAGUGAAAUGCGUAGAUAUGCGGAGGAACACCGAUGGCGAAGGCAAUCCCCUGGGCCUGUACUGACGCUCAUGCACGAAAGCGUGGGGAGCAAACAGGAUUAGAACCCCGGUAGUCCCUGUCUCUUAUACC
rnacentral:rRNA from 1 species